rnacentral:rRNA from 1 species
AAUUACCCACUCCCGGCACGGGGAGGUAGUGACGAAAAAUAACGAUACGGGACUCAUCCGAGGCCCCGUAAUCGGAAUGAGUACACUCUAAACCCUUUAACGAGGAUCAAUUGGAGGGCAAGUCUGGUGCCAGCAGCCGCGGUAAUUCCAGCUCCAAUAGCGUAUAUUAAAGUUGUUGCGGUUAAAAAGCUCGUAGUCGAAUCUGUGUCUCGCGCCGCCGGUGCAUCGCUCGCGGUGUUUAACUGGCGUGUCCGCGAGACGUCCUGCCGGUGGGCUUAGCCCGGCAACGGGCGGCCCAACUUGAAAUCCCACCGCGGUGCUCUUGACUGAGUGUCGAGGUGGGCCGGCACGUUUACUUUGAACAAAUUAGAGUGCUUAAAGCAGGCUAAAACUUCGCCUGAAUACUGUGUGCAUGGAAUAAUGGAAUAGGACCUCGGUUCUAUUUUGUUGGUUUUCGGAACCCCGAGGUAAUGAUUAAUAGGAACGGAUGGGGGCAUUCGUAUUGCGACGUUAGAGGUGAAAUUCUUGGAUCGUCGCAAGACGGACAGAAGCGAAAGCAUUUGCCAAAAACGCUUUCAUUGAUCAAGAACGAAAGUUAGAGGUUCGAAGGCGAUCAGAUACCGCCCUAGUUCUAACCAUAAACGAUGCCAGCUAGCGAUCCGCCGACGUUCCUCCGAUGACUCGGCGGGCAGCUUCCGGGAAACCAAAGCUUUUGGGUUCCGGGG